GAACGCACCUUGCGCUCCUUGGUAUUCCGAGGAGCAUGCCUGUUUGAGUGUCAUUAAAUUCUCAACCUUAUUAACUUUUGUUGAUAAUGGAUUGGAUAUGGGGGUUUCUUUUGCUGGCUUCUUCACAGAGAUCAGCUCCCCUUAAAUGCAUUAGCUGGUGACCCGCGUGGACCAUCUAUUGGUGUGAUAAUUAUCUACGCCGUGGAUGUCUGCAAUCAAUAUGGGUUUUGCACUGCUUCUAACCGUCUGUUCAUUCGGACAAUACAUGACAAUUUGACCUCAAAUCAGGUAGGACUACCCGCUGAACUUA
rnacentral:misc_RNA from 1 species